rnacentral:rRNA from 1 species
AUUGAACGCUGGCGGCAGGCUUAACACAUGCAAGUCGAGCGAGCGGCGGACUGGUGAGUAAUGUCUGGGAAACUGCCUGAUAGAGGGGGAUAACUACUGGAAACGGUAGCUAAUACCGCAUACAAUCAGCUGUACCCAGAUGGGAUUAGCUAGUAGGUGGGGUAAAGGCUCACCUAGGCGACGAUCUCUAGCUGGUCUGAGAGGAUGACCAGCCACACUGGAACUGAGACACGGUCCAGACGCCUACGGGAGGCAGCAGUGGGGAAUAUUGCACAAUGGGCGCAAGCCUGAUGCAGCCAUGCCGCGUGUGUGAAGAAGGCCUUCGGGUUGUAAAGCACUUUCAGCGAGGAGGCGUUACUCGCAGAAGAAGCACCGGCUAACUCCGUGCCAGCAGCCGCGGUAAUAC